rnacentral:lncRNA from 1 species
AGCCAUUCAAUAUUUAUCCUGUCAUCUUUGAAUUUUUAAUCUUUCAAUCAAGCCCUCAUCUUUGCUUUUUGUUCCAAUUUAGUCCCUUUUUGUAAGAGUUUGAAUUCAACAAACCAAUUUCAUUCCCGGUAAGAAAAUCCCAAAUUUAAUAGCAUUUUAUCCGAUAAUUAGCCAAAAAUAAAUAUUAAAAAUACGAAUUUAUCUUGCUAUCAAAUUCCCCCAACUUAGUCGAUGCUUAUCCUCAAGCAUGAUAUCUACUAAAAAUAAUUCGUCAAC